UGGUAUAGUGGUUAAAUACUUGGCUGCUAACCAAAAGGUGGGUGGUUCAAACCCACC
rnacentral:tRNA from 1 species